rnacentral:rRNA from 1 species
GUGAGGAAUAUUGCGCAAUGGAGGCAACUCUGACGCAGCCAUGCCGCGUGCAGGAAGAAGGCGCUACGCGUUGUAAACUGCUUUUAACCGGGAAGAAACCCCAGGACGUGUCCUGGGUUGACGGUACCGGAGGAAUAAGCACCGGCUAACUUCGUGCCAGCAGCCGCGGUAAUACGAAGGGUGCAAGCGUUAUCCGGAUUCAUUGGGUUUAAAGGGUGCGUAGGCGGAGCGUUAAGUCAGUGGUGAAAUCCUGCAGCUUAACUGUAGACUUGCCAUUGAUACUGGCGCUCUUGAGUGCACUUGAAGUGGGCGGAAUGUGCCGUGUAGCGGUGAAAUGCUUAGAUAUGGCACAGAACACCAAUUGCGAAGGCAGCUCACUAAGGCGAUACUGACGCUGAGGCACGAAAGCGUGGGGAUCGAACAGGAUUAGAUACCCUUGUAGUCC